UACGGAGGGGGCGAGCGUUAUUCGGAAUUAUUGGGCGUAAAGGGCGCGUAGGCGGCCCCUUAAGUCAAAGGUGAAAUCCCUCGGCUCAACUGAGGAACUGCCUUUGAAACUGAUGGGCUUGAGGCCGGGAGGGGGUAGCGGAAUUCCCAGUGUAGCGGUGAAAUGCGUAGAUAUUGGGAGGAACACCAGUGGCGAAGGCGGCUACCUGGACCGGUUCUGACGCUGAUGCGCGAAAGCGUGGGGAGCAAACAGG
rnacentral:rRNA from 1 species